UACGUAGGGCGCAAGCGUUGUCCGGAAUUAUUGGGCGUAAAGAGCUCGUAGGCGGUUUGUCGCGUCUGCCGUGAAAGUCCGGGGCUCAACUCCGGAUCUGCGGUGGGUACGGGCAGACUAGAGUGAUGUAGGGGAGACUGGAAUUCCUGGUGUAGCGGUGAAAUGCGCAGAUAUCAGGAGGAACACCGACGGCGAAGGCAGGUCUCUGGGCAUUAACUGACGCUGAGGAGCGAAAGCAUGGGGAGCGAACAGG
rnacentral:rRNA from 1 species